AACGAACGCUGGCGGCAUGCCUAACACAUGCAAGUCGAACGAGACCUUCGGGUCUAGUGGCGCACGGGUGCGUAACGCGUGGGAACCUGCCCUUAGGUUCGGAAUAACUCCCCGAAAGGGGUGCUAAUACCGGAUAAUGUCUUCGAACCAAAGAUUUAUCGCCUUUGGAUGGGCCCGCGUUGGAUUAGCUAGUUGGUAGGGUAAAAGCCUACCUAGGCGACGAUCCAUAGCUGGUCUGAGAGGAUGAUCAGCCACACUGGGACUGAGACACGGCCCAGACUCCUACGGGAGGCAGCAGUGGGGAAUAUUGGACAAUGGGCGAAAGCCUGAUCCAGCAAUGCCGCGUGAGUGAUGAAGGCCUUAGGGUUGUAAAGCUCUUUUACCCGGGAUGAUAAUGACAGUACCGGGAGAAUAAGCUCCGGCUAACUCCGUG
rnacentral:rRNA from 1 species